UAGCCUAUGGGAGGCAGCAGAGAGGAAUAUUGGUCAAUGGGCUUACGCCUGAACCAGCCAAGUCGCGUGAGGGAAGACUGCCCUAUGGGUUGUAAACCUCUUUUGUCAGGGAGCAACGCCGGCUACGUGUAGCCGGACUGAGAGUACCUGAAGAAAAAGCAUCGGCUAACUCCGUGCCAGCAGCCGCGGUAAUACGUAGGAUGCGAGCGUGAUCCGGAUUUAUUGGGUUUAAAGGGAGCGUAGGCGGAAUGCCAAGUCAGCGGUAAAAUAGCGGG
rnacentral:rRNA from 1 species